CUGUACCUCAUUGGUCCAGAACAAAUAUUGACACUGUGCCCAAAUGACGCAACAAAUCAUGAAAUCGACCCAUGGACAGUCAUAAGACCAAUAAAAUACACCUAUUAUGACUAUUUGUUCUUGUGAGAAAAAAUUAUUGACUUUGUAUUUUGAUCGCAUUUGUACCGUAGACUUACAUGGAAACCGGAUAUGAAAACACCUAUACUGGAGCCAUCCGUAGUGGCGCUAGUGAGCAACCAGGAACUACAACACCAGGAAAUGAGCUUCAAAAACGAAGUCUGGUUUUGGCCGCUUGGUUCAAGCCUGGUUGUGACUCCUGGAAGGAAAGGGCCCAAUUUGCUUGCGUGGAUGUUCAAAUGAAAGGAAAAGGGGAAAAAAGAAAGGACAUGUUCAAUAAAUGAAGGAAAUGUCACAAAUGUCAA